GACGAACGCUGGCGGCGUGCUUAACACAUGCAAGUCGAACGGUGAAGGAGAGCUUGCUCUCCGGAUCAGUGGCGAACGGGUGAGUAACACGUGGGCAACCUGCCCCAGACUUCGGGAUAACGCUUCGAAAGAGGUGCUAAUACCGGAUACGAACUCCUUGGGCAUCCUUGGAGUUGGAAAGUUUUUCGGUCUGGGAUGGGCCCGCGGCCUAUCAGCUUGUUGGUGAGGUAACGGCUCACCAAGGCGACGACGGGUAGCCGGCCUGAGAGGGCGACCGGGCACACUGGGACUGAGACACGGCCCAGACUCCUACGGGAGGCAGCAGUGGGGAAUAUUGCGCAAUGGGCGAAAGCCUGACGCAGCAACGCCGCGUGAGGGAUGACGGCCUUCGGGUUGUAAACCCCUUUCAGCAGGGAAGAAGCGAAAGUGACGGUACCUGCAGAAGAAGCACCGGCUAACUACGUGCCAGCAGCCGCGGUAA
rnacentral:rRNA from 1 species